AGAUCGGGCGGCCGGGGAAAUGCCCCAGGAAUUGCGGUUCGUUGGCGGAGACGUUCUUGAUGCCGAUGCCGCUGAAGUCCUUGCGAAUGUCGAUCACCCGGUCGAUCAGCAGCAUGGGAUAGCGAUGCGGCAGGGUUUUCAGAAUCUGCCCGAUGUCCACGGCCUCGAUGGUGAUUGGUGCCUGCUCGUCCAUUAUGUCUGUUCCCCGUCGCCCGACGGCUUCGAUUUCAAUUUCGCAAUGCCUUCCCGGCCCAGACGCUCCACCUCGAACAGUUCGCGGAAGAACUGCUUGAUCGGCUUGGCCGGAGAGNNNNNNGCGCGCCGGCCGGCACCUCGCCGACGACGCUGCUUCGUGCCGCGAUCUGUGCCCCGUCGCCGAUGGUGGCGUGAUCGCUCACGCCAAUGCGCGCGGCAAGGACCACCCCGUCACCCAGCG
rnacentral:misc_RNA from 1 species